UCCAUCAAACAACAUCAGGCUGCUCUGUUUUUAUUGGACAGAUAAGCUGUCAGUCAAAGUGAGUGAGCCAAUGGUAGCACAGCUUGGCCCCGCCCUACACCUGUACAGGUGAAUUACUGCAGUCAGACCAACCCUGGAAGACACACAGCCGAGCUGAAGCUCUCAGCUGACGGUUGUAUUUUCAGAGCUGGAGAAGAAGCUGGACUGAGCAUCAGACCGACCCACUGAGGAUGAGCUGCUGAACGGUGAGGUUUUAUGUUGGACUGGAGAAGUGGAGCUAGAAACCCUGGGAUCCUGUCUGCAGUGCUGCUGUGUUGCUGCUUUCUGCAGAUCAUCUGGAGGCCGACAGUCUGCUGGACAUCCAGGCUGCUCUGACAGAAAUCUCAGCAUCACAUACCUGAGAAAAGACCAUGAAGAUCUGAAGGAAGAGGAGAAGCAGAAGACUGAAGCAGCAGCAACAAGAUCCUUGGUGAGAACCUUCUUGUCUCUGAUGGUGUCGAAGCGGGCUGUCUGGAUCUUGUUGCCGUAGUCAUGGAGACCCAUGUGACGCAGCAUCAUGACAGCGCUCAGCAUCAGGGCGGUGGGGUUGGCCAGGUCCAGGCCGGCGAUGUCGGGGGCGGUACCAUGGACCGAUUCAAAGAUGGCGACUCCGCUGGU